UACGAAGGGUGCAAACGUUGCUCGGAAUUAUUGGGCGUAAAGCGCACGUAGGCGGCUAUCUAAGUCGGAUGUGAAAUCCCUCGGCUUAACCAAGGAAGUGCACCCGAAACUGGAUAGCUUGAGUACAGAAGAGGAUCGCGGAAUUCCCGGUGUAGAGGUGAAAUUCGUAGAUAUCGGGAGGAACACCAGUAGCGAAGGCGGCUCGCUGGGCCAUUCCUGACGCUGAGGCGCGAAAGCUAGGGGAGCGAACAGG
rnacentral:rRNA from 1 species